GGUCCCAAGGGUUGGGCUGUUCGCCCAUUAAAGCGGCACGCGAGCUGGGUUCAGAACGUCGCAAGACAGUUCGGUCCCUAUCUGUUGCGGGCGUAGGAGUAUUGAGAAGAGCUGUCACUAGUACGAGAGGACCGUGAUGGACGUACCGCUAGUGUAUCUGUUGUGGCGCCAGCUGCACCGCAGAGUAGCUAUGUACGGAAUGGAUAAGUGCUGAAAGCAUCUAAGCACGAAGCCAUCUUCAAGAUGAGUACUCCUUGGAUUUAUCCGAAAGGGUCGUGGAAGAUGACCACGUUGAUAGGCGACAGGUCGAAGUGCAGUAAUGUAUGUAGCCGAGUCGUACUAAUUACCCGAAAGCUUCCUUUU
rnacentral:rRNA from 1 species